CAGAGAGAGAGAGAGAGAGAGAGAGAGAGCAAU
rnacentral:sRNA from 1 species